GCACUCAUGCUCUUUUUACAAAGUUAAAAAUCAGUUUUAAGGCUAGCAUGCAAUUUCUUGAGCUUCCUAUAUGAAGAAUGAAUUUCUCUAAAAACUUCAAGUAAUUGAUCCUUCUGUUUCAGAGGAGUAUGAUGCUGAGUCCACCCAGAAAGCCUUUUGGAUCCUUUUCACAUAUUUCAUGAACUUAAGAUUUUUCUCACCCUUCUCCUUGCUUAGGUGAGCUUUCAGAGAGGAUGGACAACCUAUUAGGAUGGAAGGAGAAACUUGCACUGGCAUGAGUGGUAAAGAAAAUGUGGAGGAUGGUAAUAUCCUUGAGGAGGGUGAAGUGCCUCAGGAGGUAAGGCAGGUGAAUGCUCACAAUGAGAGUAAAUUUAUUUCUAAUCCUUAUUCUCAUAGUGGUCCUUUUAUUGAUAUUGAGGAUAUGGAUAUUGUUACUAAAUAUUUUGCCAAAGAUGAUUAUGAUGCUAGUUUUACAAAGUUUUACAAUAAGAGAUGAAGGAAAAGCAAGAAUUUCAUAUUGCAAUCUCCUAGAACCACCCAUUCGCAAACUAGUCAUUAGUUAUUAUUUAUUAUGUUUAAAUCUAUGAUUUAGAAUGUUAGGGGUAUUGGUUUCCCCUCCUCUAGGUUAAGAGUGAACAAUUUAUGUCGCAUUUAUAAUAUUUUUCACUCAUUAGAUCUCCUAAAUUACUUAGUACUACUAGAAU